UACGGAGGGGGCUAGCGUUGUUCGGAAUUACUGGGCGUAAAGCGCGCGUAGGCGGCUUUGUAAGUUAGAGGUGAAAGCCCGGAGCUCAACUCCGGAAUUGCCUUUAAGACUGCAUCGCUUGAAUCAUGGAGAGGUGAGUGGAAUUCCGAGUGUAGAGGUGAAAUUCGUAGAUAUUCGGAAGAACACCAGUGGCGAAGGCGGCUCUCUGGACCGAUACUGACGCUGAGGCGCGAAAGCGUGGGGAGCAAACAGG
rnacentral:rRNA from 1 species